rnacentral:rRNA from 1 species
CCUACGGGAGGCUGCAGUGGGGAAUAUUGGGCAAUGGGCGCAAGCCUGAUCCAGCAACGCCGCGUGAAGGAAGAAGGCUUUCGGUUUGUAAACUUCUUUUCUCAGGGACGAAGAAAGUGAUGGUACCUGAGGAAUAAGCCACUGCUAACUACGUGCCAGCAGCCGCGGUAAGACGUAGGUGGCAAGCGUUAUCCGGAUUUAUGCGGUGUAAAGGGCGUGUAGGCGGGAGCGCAAGUAAGAUGUGAAAACUCAGGGCUCAACCCCGAGCCUGUAUUUGAAACUGUGUUUCUUGAGUGCUGGAGAGGCAAUCGGAAUUCCGUGUGUAGCGGUGAAAUGCGUAGAUAUACGGAGGAACACCAGUGGCGAAGGCGGAUUGCUGGACCGUAACUGACGCUGAGGCGCGAAAGCGUGGGGAGCAAACAGGAUUAGAUACCCGAGUAGUC